rnacentral:snRNA from 1 species
AUCUUUGCGCUUGGGGCAAUGACGCAGCUAAUGAGGUCUUAACCGAGGUGCGUCUAUUGCUGGUUGAAAACUAUUUCCAAACCCCUCCUAGGCCUAAGCUUGUAUUGGGCCUUCAAGAAUUUCUGUAAGAGCUCCCUUCGGGGUAAACCUCUACAAUUCUUAGUU